rnacentral:rRNA from 1 species
UACGAAGGGGGCGAGCGUUGUUCGGAAUUACUGGGCGUAAAGGGUGCGUAGGCGGUCCUUUAAGUUAGAUGUGAAAGCCCAAGGCUCAACCUUGGAAUUGCAUUUAAUACUGAAGGGCUUGAGUUUUGGAGAGGAUAGCGGAAUUCCCAGUGUAGAGGUGAAAUUCGUAGAUAUUGGGAAGAACACCAAUGGCGUAGGCAGCUAUCUGGCCAAAAACUGACGCUGAGGCACGAAAGCGUGGGGAGCAAACAGG